CCCUCACUAUUUCUUAUUUGCAGAGUAUGCCGCGGUCAGGCUUCCCCUGCCAGGAGUGAGUCUGGCAGCACAUCCUCAUUGCAACUACGAGAGCGGUCCCGCCUACGGCAGCUACUUAUCGACACGAGCUGUUGACUAGUGCCUACUAAUGUUCCUCGUUGAAGGGCAAUAAUUGCUAUGCUCGUUGGCCAAAACGCCGAGGUGCCAUAAAAUUGGCAGAACUCUUGGGAUUCAGAGGGACUUUGACCGGUAAUGGCUUUCCCCAGGUUCCCCUACCAAAAACUUCUCUGAGCCUUCGUGAUGUCCACAAGCUACGUUGGUGAGUAGGGUUCCGCCUUCUCUCCUGGGGGAAGGGCAAGAAAGGCAGCGGCGGUACCGCGUCCGGUCCUCAAGCGUAUGGGGCUUUGUCACCCGCUUUGUAGGAUGGCCGGCGCCGCCGAUCAACCAAACUUUUUCCAGGUUGACCUCGGAUCAGGUAGGGUUACCCGCUGAACUUAGCAUAUCAUAAGCGGAGAAA
rnacentral:rRNA from 1 species